GAUGAACUUAACAGAACGAGAAAAGAUGAACAUUAGAGUUGUACUUCUCUCAGGGAAUGAUACUCUCCAUGACCUGUGCCAAUCACAGCUACCAGAAAACAAAGAGAGGAAAGAAGAAAACGUCUCAAGAACCAGAAAUGGCUAAGGAUUGUGAGAGAGAGGAUAUACCUAUAUAUCCAGUACUUCCUCAUGUGCAAAAAUCUGAGGAAAUGUGGAUUGAACAAGGCAAAUUAGAGUGGAAAAACCAAUUAAAACUCGUCACAAAUGAGUUAAAGCAGAGGUUUGGUGAAAUUUGUGAAAAAUACAAAAUUCUGGCUUGUCCUGAGGAAGAGCCACUACUUGAUAACUCUACAAGAGGAAUAGAUGUAAAGGAUAUUCCCUUUAAUUUGACAAAUAACAUACCUGGUUGUGAGGAAGAAGAUGCAUCUGAAAUAUCUGUCUCAGUGGUAUUUGAGACAUUUCCUGAACAAAAAGAACCCAAUCUCAAAAAUAUCAUCCAUCCAUACUAUCAUCCAUACUCUGGGUCGCAGGAACAUGUUUGCCAGUCGUCUAAGUUUCAUUUACAUGAAAAUAAAUUAGACUGCGACAAUGAUAACAAACCAGGCAUUGGACAUAUUUUUAGUACAGAUAAGAACUUUCAUAAUGAUGCAAGCGCUAAGAAAGCAAGGAACCCAGAAGUGGUUACAGUUGAAAUGAAAGAAGACCAAGAGUUUGAUUUGCAAAUGACAAAAAAUAUGAACCAAAAUAGUGACAGUGGCAGUACAAAUAACUAUAAAA
rnacentral:sRNA from 1 species